CUAGAGUGGUCCUUUAACACAGCGAUGAUUCAGCAGGGCCCAUAUACUAUUCUAUUAUCAUUGCUUCAUGCAGAGAGCACUAUUCUUUGUUGUAUUUUUUUCCUCGCAUAUCGAGACUACCUUCACUCCGAGUCAUACACCAUCAGCUACCACCUAUAUUCUACCAAUGGGGGAUCAACGCCACUGAAUGCAUCAAUAGGUGAGUAGGAAUACCAUUGCUGUGAAGUUUCUGUUCUGUUCAUUGCUGGAUACAGUGUACACUAUUGGAGCUCUUCUUUUUAUUUGCAUAUCCUGAACUAUACUAAGAGGAUCAGAAGACCUCAAGAUCUGCACUACUAGCAGUCCCACACCAUAUUUAAGUCCCC